GGGUCGAUGGCGUAGUUGGUUAUCGCAUCUGUCUAACAUCGAUGUCGUAGUCUGUCGUCACAGAAGGUCCUCAGUUCAAACCUGGGUCGACUCA